rnacentral:rRNA from 1 species
UACGUAGGGCGCAAGCGUUGUCCGGAAUUAUUGGGCGUAAAGAGCUCGUAGGCGGCCAGUUGCGUCCGCUGUGAAAUCCUGGGGCUUAACCCCGGGCGUGCAGUGGAUACGGGCUGGCUAGAGGCAGGCAGGGGAGAACGGAAUUCCCGGUGUAGCGGUGAAAUGCGCAGAUAUCGGGAGGAACACCGGUGGCAAAGGCGGUUCUCUGGGCCUGUACUGACGCUGAGGAGCGAAAGCGUGGGGAGCGAACAGG